GUUAGACAUAUGUAUUUACUCUUUUAAAAAUAUGUUUUUGGGGGCAGAGCAAGAUGGUGAAAUAGAAGCCUACACUUUUCAUCUCCCCUGCUGGAACACCAAAUCUUAACUGUCUGCACACAGAAAAGCACUGUCACAGGAACCAAAAAUCAGGCAUACAGAGCAGUUUUCAAGCCUCUAUAGAAGUCAUCUUACAGCGAGUCUGAGCCAGUGAAAUGCAGUUAUAGUGAUAUGUGUACUCCCAAGGUAGCUGUCAAUGCUCCUACUCGGAAAUACUCAUAUGUUGCUUCUGACUUGAAGCAGAGGAACUCACAACCUAAGAAGCCACAGGCUUGAAGAUGGCAGAGCACAAGAUGGCAGAAGUUUGGAAUGAAUUACUACUUGAAAGAGAAGCUCUUAUUUACCAAGAAAUAUAUUUUGGAAUUUGCAUGAGUAAGAAAUAAAUCCAAUUAUGCUAACAUUAUCAUUGAAAUUAGAGACGUUUCUGUUAGAGUAGCUGUUGUUACCAUAGCUAAUAUAGAUGAAGAUUAUAUUGAUUUACCAGCAGCCAGAUUGAAUAGGAAAUUUAGGCCAGUGUAAAUCUUCACCUUUCCACCCUUUUUCAGGUAUCCCUGAUCUCCCUAUUUUGCUCUAAACAACCUUUAAUCAACAGUACCUUCGAGGUUCUGACAUUUAUAUUUUUUAGUGUUUGUUUUUCUUAUCUGCUUCCCCUGACCAAUGUAUAUUCCACAAAUAUAGAAAUCUUUGUCUGUUUUGUUCACCGAUUUAUCUCAAUCACCUAAAUCAGUUCUUUGUAUAGAAAACUUGCUCAAUAACACUGAUAAAAAAUUGGCUGACUCUAACUUAUUCCAAAGAAAAAUGAUGCUAUUAACUUUACUAAAAUUAAAUAUCUCUUUACCAAACCAAA
rnacentral:lncRNA from 1 species